CCCUCAGCAAGGUACUAGGAGACAGACAGACAGGCUUGAUGAGAUCUUUAAGGGCCCUCAGCAAGGUACUAGGAGACAGACAGACAGGCUUGAUGAGAUCUUUAAGGUCAGGGCCCUCAGCAAGGUACUAGGAGACAGGCAGACUGUGUUCCCUUCACUAAGGUGUGAUAUCUCUCCUAACCAGCUGGUUAAUGUCAGUAAGGUGUGAUAUCUCUCCUAACCAGCUGGUUAAUGUUCCCUUCACUAAGGUGUGAUAUCUCUCCUAACCAGCUGGUUAAUGUUCCCUUCACUAAGGUGUGAUAUCUCUCCUAACCAGCUGGUUAAUGUCACUAAGGUGUGAUAUCUCU